rfam:Myotis davidii contig149624, whole genome shotgun sequence.
GAGCUCACUUUGGCAGCACAUAUACUGCAAUUAGAAGGAUACAGGGAAGAUUGGCAUGGCCCCAUGCGAGGAGGACAUGCAAACUUACAAAGCACUCCAUAGUUUU